rnacentral:rRNA from 1 species
CCAGACUCCUACGGGAGGCAGCAGUAGGGAAUCUUCGGCAAUGGACGGAAGUCUGACCGAGCAACGCCGCGUGAGUGAAGAAGGUUUUCGGAUCGUAAAGCUCUGUUGUAAGAGAAGAACGAGUGUGAGAGUGGAAAGUUCACACUGUGACGGUAUCUUACCAGAAAGGGACGGCUAACUACGUGCCAGCAGCCGCGGUAAUACGUAGGUCCCGAGCGUUGUCCGGAUUUAUUGGGCGUAAAGCGAGCGCAGGCGGUUAGAUAAGUCUGAAGUUAAAGGCUGUGGCUUAACCAUAGUACGCUUUGGAAACUGUUUAACUUGAGUGCAAGAGGGGAGAGUGGAAUUCCAUGUGUAGCGGUGAAAUGCGUAGAUAUAUGGAGGAACACCGGUGGCGAAAGCGGCUCUCUGGCUUGUAACUGACGCUGAGGCUCGAAAGCGUGGGGAGCAAACAGGAUUAGAUACCCUGGUAGUCCACGCCGUAAACGAUGAGUGCUAGGUGUUAGACCCUUUCCGGGGUUUAGUGCCGCAGCUAACGCAUUA